AAAGAAAGCGUAAUAGCUCACUGGUCGAGUCGGCCUGCGCGGAAGAUGUAACGGGGCUAAACCAUGCACCGAAGCUGCGGCAGCGACGCUUAUGCGUUGUUGGGUAGGGGAGCGUUCUGUAAGCCUGCGACGGUGUGCUGUGAGGCAUGCUGGAGGUAUCAGAAGUGCGAAUGCUGACAUAAGUAACGAUAAAGCGGGUGAAAAGCCCGCUCGCCGG
rnacentral:rRNA from 1 species